UCGAACGAAGUAGCAAUACUUAGUGGCAGACGGGUGAGUAACAUGUGGGUAUCUGCCCUUUGGCCUGGAAUAACACGAGGAAACUUGUGCUAAUACCGGAUAAGUCUUUACGGAGAAAGCUUUAUGCACCAUUGGAUGAGCCUGCACUUGAUUAGUUUGUUGGUGGGGUAAUGGCCUACCAAGACUGUGAUCAAUAGCUGAUUUGAGAGGAUGAUCAGCCACAUUGGGACUGAGACACGGCCCAAACUCCUACGGGAGGCAGCAGUGGGGAAUCUUGCACAAUGGAGGAAACUCUGAUGCAGCGAUGCCGCGUGAGUGAAGAAGGCCCUUGGGUUGUAAAGCUCUUUCGUCGGGGAAGAAAAUGACUGUACCCGAAUAAGAAGGUCCGGCUAA
rnacentral:rRNA from 1 species